AAGGUUGCAAAAUGGCGAGGGGGGAGGUAAGCUGUCUUUGCUUGGCCAUCUUGGGCUAGCAGGCCUUGCAGAGAACUACCUUUUUAGCUGAGUGAAGGGAUCAACCUGAGUUGGAGUUCUCCUAUGCUGUGGCCAGAUCCACUAGAAAUUAACCCAGAAUCUUAGCCUCUCACUGGCCUAUCGGUGAUGCCACACUCAAUCAGAAACUAUGCUACUGUUGAAGAGGCAUAUUGAGCUCUGCCUGGUUAACCUCCAGUGAGGUUGUUAGAGAAUUGGGAGAGGCUCAAAUCAGCAUCCUGCACCUAGUUAUCAAACAAUUGUGAAGUCUUGAUUCCUGGAUGGCCAGAAAACUUGUCAUUGGUCAAGAGCAACAUUAAGAUCUGCCUGUUACUCAUACAGAUGCUUCUUGCGCAGCAAGUUCAUCAGAGGGCGAGGAUGAAUUACGGUUGCUAUGAAUGUCCUUGUGAGGCAGUUGGGAAGCCUUGGCUGGAUUGUGAAGGAUAUUUGAAAAGUAUUUUAGACUCCACCAGAUCAUCCAUGUGAGUGACCAUGCAGCAAAAGAAGGAGGGUCCUCUCAGU
rnacentral:lncRNA from 1 species